ensembl:lncRNA
AUUGUAUCCCCAGCACCCAGCAGAGGAAGUGAUUCAUAGUAGAUUCUUUAAAAUAUCUGUUAAAAAUAAUUGAAUGAAUGAAUCAUGGUGCACUGCCCAUCUUGCAAGCAAUGGAUUGUCUGAGGAGAGCAUUCAGGAUUUCAGAUCCAGGCCCAGAAGCCCUUGUACUCACUGCAGGCUCCGUCAGGUCUAGGAGAUGACCUAGCCCCUAGGGUUGGACUUCCGAGAGCUCAGCUUCAGGCAGCUUCCGCCGGAGUUGAGAAUUUAACAGAUUUUACCCCAUUCCCAGGACAGGAUUUUGCCUCUUGAUAAAUAUGAAAUUAUUUUGUAAAUCAUCAAACAAUGUAUUCCUGUUAGAGAUGAUAGUAACGAUUAUUACGCUUUUCACGAGUCAGCCCACCUUCUGCAUCUACUGAGAGUGGCAGGGAAGACUUUGAGCCUUCCUCCUUUCCAAGAGCUGUUAACAACCGGUACAGAUAGAAAUUCCAGGUGACAGUUAAACCAGUUAGUCCCGGGGAGAAAUAAUAAAGGGGAAGAUGAGAAAUUGAAUAGAGGGAAAGAUUGAAAGAGAGAAAAGACAAGGCAGCAGGGAGUAGCUCCCACAGUCUUAGGAAAGAGGAGGGGCCAAGGAUCCAGCUCAGCAUUCAUUCUCCGGACAACCCUGUGAGGUCAAUAUUAGAAUUGGCCCAUUUUACUCGUAGGAAACGUGGCUAUGGGGCUCUGUGGCAUCUAUUCCCCCUUCCUAACCACACACCGGUUCUCUUGUGAGGAGCGUGGUAACUGGUUUCCAAGAUGAUCCCAAUGAGGCUCGCCUUCUGGUAUUCCCACGCUUCACAGUCCCCACUCAAGUUGAAUCAAGCUGACCUGUUGUGUGUGCUUAAUACAUAUCAACUUGAUAUGUAUCAACUGCCAACCGUCCUAUAAGAGGGAAGAGGCCAACAGUGGAAGCUGGGAGGCCAAUUAGGAGGUGAAUGCAAUAAUCCAAGUGAGAAGAGAGAGUGACUUGGACAAAGGCCGUGGCAAGGAGGAUGAUGGAGGCACACCAUCACAGGAAGACACAAGGAAAAGCAGUGCCUUUUCGAAAACUAGUUUGAAGACCCUUAUUAAGGCCCCUGUGCUGUGGUAGGAAGAAUGCGGGAUUGAGGGGCCCUGCCGUGAACCAGCAGUGUGCCUUUGGGAAUAUGUCUCACCUGCUCACUCCUCAGUCCCCUCAUCUAUGAAAUGGGGACCUGAAUGCCCCAUGAGGUUGUUCUGAGGAUUAAAGGAAUUGAAAUGGGUCAAGUACAACGAAGAAUGUCACAAAUAAGUUAUGUUAUGCUAAUGAUAUAUUUCUUAGUUGCUAUUAUUACUGUUGUUGUCAUUGUUGUUAUUGAAUUGACUCUGUGGCAAUCAGCUUUGUGAUUUUGGGCAAGUCAGUGCACUUCUCAAAGCCCUUGGGCUCCUGCCCUCUUAGGAGCUCGCACACAUCCCACAGCAGUUGGCGAAUAGCGCUCUGUUCCAGGUUCUGAGAUCCAGAAAAAUGCCACAACUGCACAUUCAAGAGGCACAGCGACUGAUGAGGAGCGCUUACAGGGAUACGAGGGCACUGUCAGCAGUGGUAGGGGAGGUGGUCCACCUGGGUGAUGAGGGAGCCGGGAGAGGGCAAGUCCACCAUCGUACCUCCUCCCUGUCUCCCUUUCCCACCGGAAGAAUAAUUUCUCCAGUCUCCCCCCGCUUCCCCCUUGCACCCUGGAUCCCAGGAAGAGCUGUGCAAAGUGCUCUGAACAUCCUAUCCUAUGUGCCUACGAUUUCAAGAAAACAAUCACAUUUCGUCAAUUUAUUCCAGGAAACAGGUUCCAUAACAAAAGGAAAGGCCCAAACUUCUGAGAAAAUCUAUCCAUUUACAGAAUUUGUAGGGUCUUGCUCAUGUUUGAAUUUCCCCUACUGAUAACUGUUGGCAUUCCAUCUCCUGCCACGUCAAAUGCAUUCCCUGAGACUGGGUGUACCUUGCCAAGUUGGGACGGAAUUGCUCAUGGGCAGCCCACAGGAAUCAUUGGGUGCCUGAAGCUGUGCCAACACGCGAAGAGGAAGGAAGAGUGAGGAGAGUUAUGGGCUAAGGGCCAGGAGCAUACCCAACUGAGGCAUAGAGCAUACCAGGCAAGCCAGUCAUCUGGCCCCUGACUCAACUAAAAACAUUAUUUAGUUGCUAGCAUCAGAGACCUAACCGUAGUACCUUCAACAAGAGGUUUACUUCUCUCGCGCGUAAAAGAAGUCUGGAGGGCUUCUACGAUGGCUCCACAAACUCAUCAGGGACCCAGGCUCCUUGUAGCUUUCUGCUUCACUAUCCUAGUUCAUUGCUUUUAUCCUUCAUGUUUGCCUCAUGAUCCAAGAUGGCUGCUGAGAGCUCCAGCCAUUACAUUCACAGUCCAGGCAACGAGAAGGAGGAACCAAGGAAGGGUAAAAAGAGCGUGCACACACUCUACCUUUCACAGAACCUUCCCAGAAGUCCCAUACAACAAUUCUGCUUAUAUCUCAAUAGCCAGAGCUCAGCCACACAGCCGCUCCUCACUGCAGAGGGGAGGUUCUGUUACAUAUGGAGACACUGAGAGUUGUUUGAGAAAAAGAAGAGAAUGAGGACUGCUAGUAGUGGCACAGCCUCUGUUUUACUGUCCUGAACAAUUCUGCUCUGGCCCCAAAUUUGCACAGACACUUAGCACAAAAGUUUCAUAGAACACUGCAUUUACUUGUUACUCGAAUAUUCCGCAGGGAAUGUCAAAAGAUUUCUUCCAACCAUGUUCUAACUAUACUCUCCCACAGAGGAAUUCCAGUAAACAGAGUUUGCUCCAUGUCGGUACGUUUCCAAGGAUACUUUAGCUUAACAGCAAUGUUGAAACUCUCUUCAAAAACUGGUGGUCUGAGAAGUUACCCAGCAGGUACACUCGUAAGUCUGGUUCUGACUAGAAGACCUAGGUCUUAGUCUUGGC